rnacentral:misc_RNA from 1 species
GAAUUGCGAUAAGUAAUGUGAAUUGCAGAAUUACGUGAAUCAUCGAAUCUUUGAACGCAUAUUGCACUCUCUGGUAAUCCGGAGAGUAUGCCUGUUUGAGGGUCAGUAAAUAAUAAUUAUCAUGAAUCUUUUGAUUUAUGGAAUUGGGCUUUUAUUUCGAUAGAUCUAUGGCCUUAAAUUUACGUUACAGGCUUGUCAUUAUAAAAUCUGACCUAAAGGAGCAAUUAAACAUUCUCUCAUUAGCGCGGAUUUUACAAGCUGUUAUGAUUUUUGGUUGCUUUCAGCAUUUUUACGAGUGCGAAACCAAGAUCGUAAGUUUACUCUAACAAUGACCUCAAAUCAGGCAAGAAUACCCGCUGAACUUAA